rnacentral:ncRNA from 1 species
UUUAAAACGUUGAAGAGGAUCAGUAGUUAUUCAUACUUUCUUUACAGAGAGCCGUUCGUGCUGAGAGACGGUGAGAAAGCGAAUAAUGAACUCCCCUCGGAGUGUGAUAGUGAAUGUAUAUCAAGUAGCUAUCGCCGGUCGGAUUAUCAUCUGACCGUUACUAACAGGCGCUUUUAGCGCAAUGAGCCGGUUGCUAUUUAGAACCGGGAAAUUAGGGUGGUACCGCGGAAUAACCUUUUCGCCCCUUUG